rnacentral:rRNA from 1 species
AAGUCAGAGCGCGUUAAUGCGUGAUGGCGUGCCUUUUGUAGAAUGAACCGGCGAGUUAUGAUCCCGUGCAAGGUUAAGACUAAAAAGUCGGAGCCGUAGCGAAAGCGAGUCUGAAAUGGGCGUUUUGAGUACGAGGUUAUAGACCCGAAACCAGGUGACCUAUCCAUGUCCAGGUUGAAGGUGCGGUAAAACGCACUGGAGGACCGAACCCGUGUAAGUUGAAAAUUGCUGGGAUGAGGUGUGGAUAGCGGUGAAAUUCCAAACGAACUUGGAGAUAGCUGGUUCUCUCCGAAAUAGCUUUAGGGCUAGCCUCGGAAUUAGGAUCAUGGAGGUAGAGCACUAUUUGGACUAGGGGCCCGUCUUGGGUUACUGAAUUCAGAUAAACUCCGAAUGCCAUUGAUUCAUAUCCGGGAGUCAGACGAUGAGUGAUAAGAUCCACCGUCGAAAGGGGAACAGCCCAGACCAUCAGUUAAGGUCCCUAAAUGUAUGCUAAGUGGAAAAGGAGGUGGAGUUGCAUAGACAACUAGGAUGUUGGCUCAGAAGCAGCCACCAUUUAAAGAGUGCGUAAUAGCUCACUAGUCGAGUGAUCCUGCGCCGAAAAUGUACCGGGGCUAAGCAUACUACCGAAACCAUGGAUGCGACCAUUAGGUCGCGUGAUAGGAGAGCGUUCUAAGGGCGGUGAAGCAAGAUCGUGAGGACUUGUGGAGCGCUUAGAAGUGAGAAUGCCGGUAUGAGUAGCGAAAGAUAGGUGAGAAUCCUAUCCACCGAAUGACUAAGGUUUCCUGGGGAAGGCUCGUCCUCCCAGGGUUAGUCGGGACCUAAGUCGAGGCCGAGAGGCGUAGACGAUGGAUAACAGGUUGAGAUUCCUGUACUAGUUAAGUGCGUUUGAGCAAUGGAGGGACGCAGGAGGCUAAGAUGUGCAUUCUGUUGGAUUAGAAUGUCCAAGCAGUAAGUCUUGUGAAGAGUCAAAUGCUUUUCACUUUAAGGACAAGCUGUGAUGGGGAGCGAAAUUUAGUAGCGAAGCGUCUGAUGUCACACUGCCGAGAAAAGCUUCUAGUGAGUACUUAACUACCCGGCCCGCAAACCGCCAC